CUCCUCCUCACGCAUAGGACCUGGGAUCUGAAUUUGGAUCCUCUUGUAUGUGGGGCACUUUACCAGUGAGCCAUCUCUCUGCCUUUCAGUGAUAAAAUAGCAUCACUAGAGAGGCUGGAGGAAACACAUUGGUGAUAGAUUCAUUUAUGUCCCAGAUGAUGGUAACCCUUUUAGGUUGCAAGGAACUGGUGGUGUCCGGCACACUUCACCAUCCAUCAGCUGAGGGAUGCUCUAGGUUGGAGCCUGGACUACUGGACUUGCUGCCUUCCAGCCACAACACAGGCUCUGCAGAGGCACUUCUCAUAUAAGCAAAUGCCAGUACCCACAGUGGACAACCAGACACUGAGGGUGGAGCAGGCAAGAGUGACAUAUUGUCAUCCCCACAGCUCACAUGGAGCCACUUUCUUCACUUGUUCCUCCUACACUGGGCGCUGAAGGAAACCAGGAGUGUUUCCUCCAGAAGGUGAUAAAGGAGCUGUCAUGAUGUGACUGUGCAGUGCCCCGCCCCCAGGCUCAUAGGUUUGAACACCUAGUUUUCACUUGGUGGUAUUGUUUGGGUUGGUUGUGAACUCUUGAGGAGUUGUAGCUUUGCUGGAAGAAGUGGUUUAAAGGGGUUUUGUAGUCAACUCCACAUCUUGUUCUCUCCCUUUCUGCAUUCUGACUUCGGAUUAAACUGAGAGCAGCUGGCCUAAUGCUCUGUGGCCACGCUUCCUCUGCCAUGGACUGCCCUGGAACUCUAAGGCUGGAAUAAAUCCUUUCUUCCCUAAGUUGCUUGUGUCU
rnacentral:lncRNA from 1 species